UGCGCUUAUUGUUGUCCACCUGGGCUUGGA
rnacentral:piRNA from 1 species